rnacentral:miRNA from 1 species
UGAAGCUGACAGCAUGAUCUA